AAAAACAUGUCUUUUUGAUAAUAAUUUAAAGUCUAAUCUGCCCACUGAUAUAUUAUAUUAAAGGGCUGCAGUAUAUUGACUGUACAAAGGUAGCAUAAUCAAUAGUCUUUUAAAUGAAGACUUGUAUGAAGGAUUUGAUGAAAUAUAAACUGUCUCUUAAUUAAAAAUAAAAUUUUAUUUUUUAGUAAAAAAGCUAAAAUUUAUUUAAAAGACGAGAAGACCCUAUAGAGUUUUAUAAUUAUUUUAUUUAAAAUUAAAUAUUUAAAUUAUAUAACAUAAAAAAUAAAAUAAUUAUUAUAUUGGGGUGAUAGAAAAAUUAAAAUAACUUUUUUUAAAAAUUAAACAUUAAUAAAUGAUUUUAUGAUCCAUUAAUAAUGAUUAUAAGAAAAAAUUACCUUAGGGAUAACAGCGUAAUAUUUUUUUUUAGUUCAAAUAAAAAAAAGAGUUUGCGACCUCGAUGUUGGAUUAAGAUAAAAUUUAAAUGCAAAAGUUUAAAAUUUUGAUCUGUUCGAUCAUUAAAAUCUUACAUGAUCU
rnacentral:rRNA from 1 species